rnacentral:tRNA from 1 species
GCGCCCUAGGUGAUGCGGUUCAUUGCACCUGGCUUAUAUCCAGCGAUUGUAGGUUCGACUCCUACAGGGCGUA